CCCUGCCAUUUGUACACACCGCCCGUCGCUUCUACCGAUGAAUGAUCCGGUGAACAUUUUGGACUUGGUGUCUAUUAGGUUAACGCCUCAGACAUCCGAGAAAGUUAUGUAAACCUUAUCAUUUAGAG
rnacentral:rRNA from 1 species